rnacentral:rRNA from 1 species
UACAGAGGGGGCAAGCGUUAUUCGGAAUUAUUGGGCGUAAAGGGCGCGUAGGCGGCUUGGCAAGUGGAAGGUGAAAUCCCUCGGCUUAACCGAGGAACUGCCCUCCAAACUGCUUCGCUUGAGACCGGGAGAGGUGAGUGGAAUUCCCAGUGUAGCGGUGAAAUGCGUAGAUAUUGGGAGGAACACCAGUGGCGAAGGCGGCUCACUGGACCGGUACUAGACGCUGAUAGCGC